rnacentral:rRNA from 1 species
GAGUGGCGAACUGGUGAGUAACACGUGGGAAACCUGCCCAGAAGCGGGGGAUAACACCUGGAAACAGAUGCUAAUACCGCAUAACAACUUGGACCGCAUGGUCCGAGUUUGAAAGAUGGCUUCGGCUAUCACUUUUGGAUGGUCCCGCGGCGUAUUAGCUAGAUGGUGGGGUAACGGCUCACCAUGGCAAUGAUACGUAGCCGACCUGAGAGGGUAAUCGGCCACAUUGGGACUGAGACACGGCCCAAACUCCUACGGGAGGCAGCAGUAGGGAAUCUUCCACAAUGGACGAAAGUCUGAUGGAGCAACGCCGCGUGAGUGAAGAAGGGUUUCGGCUCGUAAAACUCUGUUGUUAAAGAAGAACAUAUCUGAGAGUAACUGUUCAGGUAUUGACGGUAUUUAACCAGAAAGCCACGGCUAACUACGUGCCAGCAGCCGCGGUAAUACGUAGGUGGCAAGCGUUGUCCGGAUUUAUUGGGCGUAAAGCGAGCGCAGGCGGUUUUUUAAGUCUGAUGUGAAAGCCUUCGGCUCAACCGAAGAAGUGCAUCGGAAAUUGGGAAACUUGAGUGCCGGAGGAGGACCAGUGGAACUCCAUGUGUAAGCGGUGAAAUGGGGAGGUUAUAUGGAAGAACACCAGUGGCGAAGCGGGCUGUCUGGUCUGUAACGGACGCUGAGGCUGGAAAGUUAUGGGUAGCAAACAGGAUUAGAUACCGUGGUAGUCCAUACCGUAAACGAUGAAUGCUAAGUGUUGGAGGGUUUCCGCCCUUCAGUGCUGCAGCUAACGCAUUAAGCAUUCCGCCUGGGGAGUACGGCCGCAAGGCUGAAACUCAAAGGAAUUGACGGGGGCCCGCACAAGCGGUGGAGCAUGUGGUUUAAUUCGAAGCUACGCGAAGAACCUUACCAGGUCUUGACAUACUAUGCAAAUCUAAGAGAUUAGACGUUCCCUUCGGGGACAUGGAUACAGGUGGUGCAUGGUUGUCGUCAGCUCGUGUCGUGAGAUGUUGGGUUAAGUCCCGCAACGAGCGCAACCCUUAUUAUCAGUUGCCAGCAUUAAGUUGGGCACUCUGGUGAGACUGCCGGUGACAAACCGGAGGAAGGUGGGGAUGACGUCAAAUCAUCAUGCCCCUUAUGACCUGGGCUACACACGUGCUACAAUGGAUGGUACAACGAGUUGCGAACUCGCGAGAGUAAGCUAAUCUCUUAAAGCCAUUCUCAGUUCGGAUUGUAGGCUGCAACUCGCCUACAUGAAGUCGGAAUCGCUAGUAAUCGCGGAUCAGCAUGCCGCGGUGAAUACGUUCCCGGGCCUUGUACACACCGCCCGUCACACCAUGAGAGUUUGUAACACCCAAAGUCGGUGGG